AAUCAUCAAAACCUUCUCUUUUUGAGUGGUUUGGAUGUGGGGGUUUGCUGGCCUUGUAAAGGGUUCAGCUCCCCUGAAAUGCAUUAGCAGAACAACCCUGUUCAUUGGUGUGAUAACUAUCUACGCUAUUGAAUGUAAGGGGCAGUUCAGCUUUCUAACAGUCCUUGGACAAUUCAUCAUUA
rnacentral:misc_RNA from 1 species